AUUGAACGCUGGCGGCAGGCCUAACACAUGCAAGUCGAGCGGAUGAAGGGAGCUUGCUCCUGGAUUCAGCGGCGGACGGGCGAGUAAUGCCUAGGAAUCUGCCUGGUAGUGGGGGAUAACGUCAGGUAACGGGCGCUAAUACCGCAUACGUCCUGAGGGAGAAAGUGGGGGAUCUUCGGACCUCACGCUAUCAGAUGAGCCUAGGUCGGAUUAGCUAGUUGGUGGGGUAAAGGCCUACCAAGGCGACGAUCCGUAACUGGUCUGAGAGGCUGAUCAGUCACACUGGAACUGAGACACGGUCCAGACUCCUACGGGAGGCAGCAGUGGGGAAUAUUGGACAAUGGGCGAAAGCCUGAUCCAGCCAUGCCGCGUGUGUGAAGAAGGUCUUCGGAUUGUAAAGCACUGUAAGUUGGGAGGAAGGGCAGUAAGUUAAUACCUUGCUGUUUUGACGUUACCAACAGAAUAAGCACCGGCUAACUUCGUG
rnacentral:rRNA from 1 species